GAUGAACGCUGGCGGCGUGCCUAAUACAUGCAAGUCGAGCGAACAGACGAGGAGCUUGCUCCUCUGACGUUAGCGGCGGACGGGUGAGUAACACGUGGAUAACCUACCUAUAAGACUGGGAUAACUUCGGGAAACCGGAGCUAAUACCGGAUAAUAUAUUGAACCGCAUGGUUCAAUAGUGAAAGACGGUUUUGCUGUCACUUAUAGAUGGAUCCGCGCCGCAUUAGCUAGUUGGUAAGGUAACGGCUUACCAAGGCAACGAUGCGUAGCCGACCUGAGAGGGUGAUCGGCCACACUGGAACUGAGACACGGUCCAGACUCCUACGGGAGGCAGCAGUAGGGAAUCUUCCGCAGUGGGCGAAAGCCUGACGGAGCAACGCCGCGUGAGUGAUGAAGGCCUUCGGAUCGUAAAACUCUGUUAUUAGGGAAGAACAAAUGUGUAAGUAACUAUGCACGUCUUGACGGUACCUAAUCAGAAAGCCACGGCUAACUACGUG
rnacentral:rRNA from 1 species